CUCGUUUAGUUGGUAUGAUUCCGGUCUCUCUCGCUUGACCUCAUCUUGCCUUUGGUGUCUCUUGCUCUCUGUGAUCUGUUGCUCCAGCUCAUCUCCUGUCGCCACUCUCUUUGACGAGGGUUAGCCACUACUCCAUCUCUGGUCGAGUUUGUCUUGCUCUCUCGGUCGCCACUCCUUCAAGCUUCCUCCAUCUCCAGUUGCCACUCUCACUCUCUCCAGUUCGUCUCCCAUCACCACUCUCUCUCGAGCUGGAGCCUGUCUUUGGUUGCCUUAGUUUGUUGGCUCGUCUUUUAAAAUUCCAUAGGUCGUCUCUGCUUCGUGUUGACUUGCUGCUGCCUGUUGGCAUGAAAAUGGAAGAAUAAAAUCUGCUUCUACUCCUUCUCCAUACAUGCAACCAUGCUGGGCUGUGAUGGUAAUUCACUUUCAAACCAUAAAUUUUUAUAGUAUCAGCGACUCAUUGAUAUUCUAUAUCCUACUACCCAAACAAUUAAUUCUUUGAUGCAACUUGAUCUUCUUGCUGGUGUUGAUGUGGGGGUCAAACUCUAAGAAUAUCUGCUUUUAUAGGUUGUUGAUCGUAAUGGACUGUAGGUGAGCUUCAUCCAUCUUUUAAUUGAUAGAAAUUAUGCAUCAUUUACAAACACACACACACACACGUAUAUUACAUCCUAAAUCUUGACCUUUAUAAAGGGAAAAUAAAACUACUGGUCUUGUUUUUCUUUUCUGUCCACCCCAAGGUUCUCGCCAGUCCCUGUCUCCUUUGGUAUGGACAUAUCAUAUACAACUAUUUUAAAUUCUGAUUCAAUAAAAAUGAUGACCUAUAUUAAAUAGUGCUCAUAAGGUUACUUCAUCAUAAUGAAAAGUUGACUGCAUUCCUCCCCUGUAUCCUAUAAUUUAACAAAGAAGAUAAACAAUUAUAUACUCAAGCUUUCUGAUUCUUUUAUGAAAAGCUACUGGUGAUGGACAUCCUACAGCGGAAAGACACUAAACUUGCUGGCUUGCAUUCUAUUUUGAUUGAUUUAAUAACUAAUUGGGUUUUUUUUUUAUACUUUCGUUGUUUCAGAAAUCUUGAUAAGCAUUGAAACCUCCGUCUUCUUGACUGCCUUGUAUUUUUAUGCUUUUCCACUUCCUUAUGUAUAUUGUCAUUGGUAUCCACUGUGACUAUGUUGAUACUAUGUUUCAUAUGUGAAAAUAGGAUUUAAUGUCUGAUGGCUUUAGAACUCUAU